rnacentral:tRNA from 1 species
GCGAGCGUAGUUCAGUGGUAGAACACCACCUUGCCAAGGUGGGGGUCGCGGGUUCGAAUCCCGUCGUUCGCU